ACUGACUUUUUUUGCCAUCCUUCCAACUCUUCCUGGAUUCAUCUUCUUCCCUUCUCUUGGACUCUUCCAUUGUGUUCCAGUGGCAGAUUAAAGAACAGAAACAGAACAAUAAGUGUGCAUGGCCACAUUUUCCCAGUGCCACCAACUGGGAGUUAAGCUAACUAACAUCUUGAAAGUCAUUAACAGCAGGCAUGGCAGCGUUGACUGAUUGUACUCACCAGCUGGCUAAUAUCAUAAUUAACAAAGUUGCUACUAUGUCUGCAAAGUUUAAUCGAAUAAUUUUCCAGUGAUAUGAUGACAUUGUCACAAAGAUCACAAGGGACACAGAGUCGACUUUUGCUUAAGGUGGAAAGGCAAAGCUGUGUAGUCAAGAUGAGAAACGGUGAACUUACUCAGCUAAAGGUUAUACUUUAUGUCACCCACCAGGGAGGAUCAUCUCUCAUGAAAACUUUCAAAUUUGAUUUUGGAAAUUAUUCAGAAAAAAUUAAACCUUGCUCUCUUCCAACAUAGGGAUGAAUAUGCUCUGGAGAUUCCCAUAAUUCAAAGAAAAUGGAAUGGGAUAAUAUUCAGGUUGUCAUGCUAUCAAACUCCUCUUGAAAAGGAUGGCCAGAGGUGAUUAGAAUCUUGGCUGCAAGUUCCUGGGGUCAGUGGAGCUUGGAAGACUCUUUUUGCAGUCCCUCUGUUCAUGGGCAAACAGCCAUCAGAAGGAGGAAAUCUUUUUGAAGUUGCCCUUAUAAAAGUCUGCCCUUGUUUGUAAAAUAAAAAAUGAGUUAGAUCACCAUAAGAAAUUUGACUUU